UUGUGAAAUGUUGGGUUAAGUCCCGCAACGAGCGCAACCCUUAUCCUUUGUUGCCAGCGGUUCGGCCGGGAACUCAAAGGAGACUGCCGGUGAUAAACCGGAGGAAGGUGGGGAUGACGUCAAGUCAUCAUGGCCCUUACGGCCAGGGCUACACACGUGCUACAAUGGCGCAUACAAAGAGAAGCGACCUCGCGAGAGCAAGCGGACCUCAUAAAGUGCGUCGUAGUCCGGAUUGGAGUCUGCAACUCGACUCCAUGAAGUCGGAAUCGCUAGUAAUCGUAGAUCAGAAUGCUACGGUGAAUACGUUCCCGGGCCUUGUACACACCGCCCGUCACACCAUGGGAGUGGGUUGCAAAAGAAGUAGGUAGCUUAACCUCCGGGAGGGCGCUUACCACUUUGUGAUUCAUGACUGGGGUGAAGUCGUAACAAGGUAACCAAGGGCGAAUUCUG
rnacentral:rRNA from 1 species